rnacentral:rRNA from 1 species
UACAGAGGGGGCAAGCGUUGUUCGGAAUUACUGGGCGUAAAGGGCGCGUAGGCGGCCUGCUAAGUCGAACGUGAAAAUCCCCCGGGCUCAACCCGGGAACUGCGUCCGAUACUGGUAGGCUUGAAUUCGGGAGAGGGAUGCGGAAUUCCAGGUGUAGCGGUGAAAUGCGUAGAUAUCUGGAGGAACACCGGUGGCGAAGGCGGCAUCCUGGACCGACAUUGACGCUGAGGAGCGAAAAGCUAGGGGGAGCAAACGGG